GCUGGCGGCGUGCCUAAUACAUGCAAGUCGAACGAACUCUGGUAUUGAUUGGUGCUUGCAUCAUGAUUUACAUUUGAGUGAGUGGCGAACUGGUGAGUAACACGUGGGAAACCUGCCCAGAAGCGGGGGAUAACACCUGGAAACAGAUGCUAAUACCGCAUAACAACUUGGACCGCAUGGUCCGAGUUUGAAAGAUGGCUUCGGCUAUCACUUUUGGAUGGUCCCGCGGCGUAUUAGCUAGAUGGUGGGGUAACGGCUCACCAUGGCAAUGAUACGUAGCCGACCUGAGAGGGUAAUCGGCCACAUUGGGACUGAGACACGGCCCAAACUCCUACGGGAGGCAGCAGUAGGGAAUCUUCCACAAUGGACGAAAGUCUGAUGGAGCAACGCCGCGUGAGUGAAGAAGGGUUUCGGCUCGUAAAACUCUGUUGUUAAAGAAGAACAUAUCUGAGAGUAACUGUUCAGGUAUUGACGGUAUUUAACCAGAAAGCCACGGCUAACUACGUGCCAGCAGCCGCGGUAAUACGUAGGUGGCAAGCGUUGUCCGGAUUUAUUGGGCGUAAAGCGAGCGCAGGCGGUUUUUUAAGUCUGAUGUGAAAGCCUUCGGCUCAACCGAAGAAGUGCAUCGGAAACUGGGAAACUUGAGUGCAGAAGAGGACAGUGGAACUCCAUGU
rnacentral:rRNA from 2 species